AUAUAUAUUUAUUAGGGCUAGACAUAAGUACUCGUUACUCGUCUUAUAUUCGCUACUUGAUUCGUAUUCGCCUUGAAAAAACAAAUGCUCGUUUUUAACAAGGCAAGUAACAAGUAGUAUAAUUUAGAUACUUGCAAGUACAAAUCAAGUAACAAGUAAUGAAAAAAAACUAAUACUCGACUCGUUUGACUCGAUACUCGUCAUUAUUUUACCAUUUUCUAUACAUAUAUUGUAUUGUUUUAGUGUUAGACACAUUUUAAAACUAUAUUAGAAGUAAAGUAAAUUUUAAAUAAGUAAAAAAUAUGAUAAAUAAAAUAAUAAGUAAUUUUAAGUAAUUCGAAAGUGUUACUUGCAAGUAAUUUAUUUGCAAGUAAUUCGCAAGUAGCAAGUAAUAACUCGUAAAUACUUGUAAAUAACUCGUGAAUAUCAAGUAGUAACUCGUAAGUACAUGUAAGUAACUCGCAAGUAGCAAGUAACAGGACAAGGCAAGUAACUCGCAAGGCAAUCAUAUUUUAGCAAAUACUUGAAAUUGUAAGUACUCGUUUUCAAUAAACCAAAUACAAUUACUUAUUUGAUUACUCGUACAAGGCAAGUCGAGUAACAAGUAUCCCUAAAAUAGCAAGUACUAGCCUUGCGCCCACCCCUAAUACUUACGUUAAAGUGGACGAUCUCAAUCUCUUUUUACAACCGAGAAUUGU
rnacentral:sRNA from 1 species